rnacentral:rRNA from 1 species
UAGGGAAUCUUCGGCAAUGGACGAAAGUCUGACCGAGCAACGCCGCGUGAGUGAAGAAGGUUUUCGGAUCGUAAAACUCUGUUGUUAGAGAAGAACAAGGACGUUAGUAACUGAACGUCCCCUGACGGUAUCUAACCAGAAAGCCACGGCUAACUACGUGCCAGCAGCCGCGGUAAUACGUAGGUGGCAAGCGUUGUCCGGAUUUAUUGGGCGUAAAGCGAGCGCAGGCGGUUUCUUAAGUCUGAUGUGAAAGCCCCCGGCUCAACCGGGGAGGGUCAUUAGAAACUGGGAGACUUGAGUGCAGAAGAGGAGAGUGGAAUUCCAUGUGUAGCAGUGAAAUGCGUAGAUAUAUGGAGGAACACCAGUGGCGAAGGCGGCUCUCUGGUCUGUAACUGACGCUGAGGCUCGAAAGCGUGGGGAGCAAACAGG